rnacentral:rRNA from 1 species
AUUGAACGCUGGCGGCAGGCUUAACACAUGCAAGUCGAGCGAGCGGCGGACGGGUGAGUAAUGUCUGGGAAACUGCCUGAUGGAGGGGGAUAAAUACUGGAAACGGUCGAUAAUAACGCAUAACAUAAGAUGUGACCAGAUGGGAUUAGCUAGUAGGUGGGGUAAUGGCUCACCUAGUCGACGAUCCCUAGAUGGUCUGAGUGGAUGACCAGCCACCCUGGAACUGAGACACGGUCCAGACUCCUACGUGAGGCAGCAGUGGGGAAUAUUGCACAAUGGGCGCAAGCCUGAUGCAGCCAUGCCGCGUGUGUGAAGAAGGCCUUCGGGUUGUAAAGCACUUUCAGCGAGGAGGCGUUACCCGCAGAAGAAGCACCGGCUAACUCCGUGCCAGCAGCCGCGGUAAUUC